ACGGGUGAUGAGGUAGAUUUUACUUCCAACCACUUAACUAAGUAUUAGUAGGAAAUGGUAACCAUCAUAGCAAGAAAAUUUUAAGUAGUUAUGUUUACUUUUCUAUUUAGCGCUGAAUACGAAAAACAAUUGUUAAUCCAUUUAUUUACUUACAAGUAACUAAGCUCUUCUUAAUUUUCAUUUCAUUUCAAACCAGUUUUUUUGUGCGUAGGCCUGUAAAAGAGUUCAGUUGGAAAGCCAAGCACAACACUGAUGCACU